GAUGAAGAACGUAGCGAAAUGCGAUACUUGGUGUGAAUUGCAGAAUCCCGUGAACCAUCGAGUCUUUGAACGCAAGUUGCGCCCGAAGCCACUAGGCCGAGGGCACGCCUGCCUGGGCGUCACACGCCGUUGCCCCCCCAUCUACUCCUUCGGGAUUGCGGGGGGGCGGAUGAUGGCCUCCUGUGCGCCUAGCCGCGCGGUUGGCAUAAAUACCAAGUCCUCGGCGACGCACGCCACGACAAUCGGUGGUUGCGAAACCUCGGUUGCCCGUCGUGUGCGUUCGUCGCGCAUCGAGGACUCGAAAAAAUGCUCGGCUCCGGCUGGGCUUUCAACGCGACCCCAGGUCAGGCGGGGUUACCCGCUGAAUUUAAGCAUAUCAAUAAGCGGAGGA
rnacentral:misc_RNA from 1 species